GCCUCUUUAGCUCAGUUGGUAGAGCGCACGGCUGUUAACCGUUAGGUCGUAGGUUCAAGUCCUACAAGAGGCGCCA
rnacentral:tRNA from 1 species